rnacentral:tRNA from 1 species
GGGGGUGUAGUUCAGUGCUAGAGCACUUGCCUAAUAUGCAUGAAGCCCUGGGUUUGACCCCUAGCCCUGCCA